rnacentral:rRNA from 1 species
AUUCUGGCUCAGGAUGAACGCUAGCUACAGGCCUAACACAUGCAAGUCGAGGGGCAGCAUGGGGGUUGCUUGCAAUCCCUGAUGGCGACCGGCGAAUGGGUGAGUCACGCGUGUCCAACCUGCCCCCCGCCCGGGCACAGCCCUUGGAAAUGAGGAUUAAUGCCCGAUAUGUGGGCAUGCCGCAUGGCGUGCUCAUGAAACGGACGGGGGAUGGGGACGCGUCGGAUUAGCUUGACGGCGGGGCGACGGCCCACCGUGGCGACGAUCCGCAGGGGUUCUGAGAGGAAGGUCCCCCACACUGGCACUGAGACACGGGCCAGACUCCUACGGGAGGCAGCAGUGAGGAAUAUUGGUCAAUGGCCGAGAGGCUGAACCAGCCAAGUAGCGUGCAAGGAUGACGGCCCUACGGGUUGUAAACUGCUUUUGCGGGAGGAUAAAGUGCACUACGUGUAGUGCUUUGCAGGUAUCCCGUGAAUAAGGACCGGCUAAUUCCGUGCCAGCAGCCGC